AAAAAUUUGUAUGAGACCCUUAAUCCCAUCAAUCCAAACAGUGCAAUGAACUACGUUUUUCUUUUGUAUAAGAAAGAGAGAAGCAAGUCUUGAAACUUAGACUAAACACCCUCUCACAGUUGAGCCAAAGAUGCAGGGUAUGUAAAAGAAAAGAGAGCAAACUACAGAUAGUAUCCCUUGUAAGAAAAGUUACCCAAGCCCACUGUUUCAGCAUUCUCUCCUUUUUUAUUUGUCAAGCCCUCCCAUCCAUCCACACCUCAUUUUCCAUCCACUGCGACUUCAGUUGUUGCCGCUACGCACUCCCUACCUCUCUCUCUCUCUCUCUCUCUCUCUCUC